AGCGAACGCUGGCGGCAGGCCUAACACAUGCAAGUCGAACGAAGUCUUCGGACUUAGUGGCGGACGGGUGAGUAACACGUGGGAACGUGCCUUUAGGUUCGGAAUAACUCAGGGAAACUUGUGCUAAUACCGAAUGUGCCCUUCGGGGGAAUGAUUUAUCGCCUUUAGAGCGGCCCGCGUCUGAUUAGCUAGUUGGUGAGGUAAAGGCUCACAAAGGCUACGAUCAGUAGCUGGUCUGAGAGGAUGACCAGCCACAUUGGGACUGGGACACGGCCCAAACUCCUACGGGAGGCAGCAGUGGGGAGUCUUGCGCAAUGGGCGAAAGCCUGACGCAGCCAUGCCGCGUGGAUGAUGAAGGUCUUAGGAUUGUAAAAUCCUUUCACCGGUGAAGAUAAUGACUGUAGCCGGAGAAGAAGCCCCGGCUAACUUCGUGCCAGCCGCCGCCGUAAGAC
rnacentral:rRNA from 1 species